CCUACGGGCGGCAGCAGUGAGGAAUAUUGGUCAAUGGCCGAGAGGCUGAACCAGCCAAGUCGCGUGAGGGAAGACGGCCCUACGGGUUGUAAACCUCUUUUGUCGGGGAGCAAAGAGAGUCACGUGUGACUCAUUGAGAGUACCCGAAGAAAAAGCAUCGGCUAACUCCGUGCCAGCAGCCGCGGUAAUACGGAGGAUGCGAGCGUUAUCCGGAUUGAUUGGGUUUAAAGGGUGCGCAGCCGGGGGUGCAAGUCAGCGGUCGAAUUGCGGGGCUCAACCCCGUACUGCCGUUGAAACUGCAUCCCUUGAGUGCGCGAGAAGUAUGCGGAAUGCGUGGUGUAGCGGUGAAAUGAAUAGAUAUCACGCAGAACUCCGAUUGCGAAGGCAGCAUACCGGCGCGCAACUGACGCUCAUGCACGAAAGCGUGGGUAUCGAACAGGAUUAGAUACCCCAGUAGUC
rnacentral:rRNA from 1 species